rnacentral:rRNA from 1 species
CGUGCUUAACACAUGCAAGUCGAACGAUGAAGCCCAGCUUGCUGGGUGGAUUAUGUGGCGAACGGGUGAGUAACACGUGAGUAACCUGCCCCCCUCUUCGGGAUAAGCCUUGGAAACGGGGUCUAAUACCGGAUAUUCAGUCUCUGCCGCAUGGUGGGGGUUGGAAAGAUUUAUUGGUGGGGGAUGGGCUCGCGGCCUAUCAGCUUGUUGGUGGGGUGAUGGCCUACCAAGGCGUCGACGGGUAGCCGGCCUGAGAGGGCGACCGGCCACACUGGGACUGAGACACGGCCCAGACUCCUACGGGAGGCAGCAGUGGGGAAUAUUGCACAAUGGGCGAAAGCCUGAUGCAGCGACGCCGCGUGAGGGAUGACGGCCUUCGGGUUGUAAACCUCUUUCGACAAGGAAGAAGCUUUCGGGUGACGGUACUUGUAGAAGAAGCGCCGGCUAACUACGUGCCAGCAGCCGCGGUAAUACGUAGGGCGCAAGCGUUGUCCGGAAUUAUUGGGCGUAAAGAGCUCGUAGGCGGUCUGUCGCGUCUGGUGUGAAAACCCGAGGCUCAACCUCGGGCUGGCAUCGGGUACGGGCAGGCUGGAGUGCGGU